AUGGGCGCCGUCUCGGCGACGGCGGACGUCGUGGUGGCGCUCUUCUCGCUGAUCAUGGCGGUGGCGGCCCCGCUGUUCGACUCUCAGGUCGUGCUCCCGCGCGACCUCUACCCGGCGCCGCUCGUGGACAUCCACCGGUGGUUCGCCGUCGCGUUCGGGCACUACCUCGUCGCCUACCCGCCGCCUUUCUUCCUCGGCCUCGUCUGGCUCGACCUGGCCUUGCUGUGGCCCGUCUGCGUCGCCAACCUCUACGGCAUCCUCGCGCGCCGCCGCUGGUCGGCCACCACCUCGCUCAUGGCGGGGGUCUACAUGCUCACCUACUUGUCCGCCAUACUCGGCGACAUGUUGGGCUCAGGAAAAGCAACGCUGAGGCUGCUUCAGCUGUAUGUUCCGUUCAUCGUGGUUGCUGUAAUUGCAGUUUUGCGUGGUCUCUGCUCAUGGUCAGCGCCGUUAGCUGCUGCAACAUCGGUUGCAUCUUCAGCUCAGAAGAAGAAAGCCUAG
rnacentral:rRNA from 1 species